GCAUAUCAAUAAGCGGAGGAAAAGAAACCAACAGGGAUUGCCCCAGUAACGGCGAGUGAAGCGGCAACAGCUCAAAUUUGAAAUCUGGCCCCUCCGGGUCCGAGUUGUAAUUUGUAGAGGAUGCUUUUGGUGAGGUGCCGCCCGAGUUCCCUGGAACGGGACGCCACAGAGGGUGAGAGCCCCGUCUGGCUGGCCACCGAGCCUCUGUAAAGCUCCUUCGACGAGUCGAGUAGUUUGGGAAUGCUGCUCAAAAUGGGAGGUAUAUGUCUUCUAAAGCUAAAUAUUGGCCAGAGACCGAUAGCGCACAAGUAGAGUGAUCGAAAGAUGAAAAGCACCUUGAAAAGAGGGUUAAACAGUACGUGAAAUUGUUGAAAGGGAAGCGCUUGUGACCAGACUUGGGCGCGGCGGAUCAUCCGGGGUUCUCUCCGGUGCACUUCGCCGCGUUCAGGCCAGCAUCAGUUCGUCGCGGGGGAAAAAGGCUUCGGGAACGUGGCUCCUCCGGGAGUGUUAUAGCCCGUUGCAUAAUACCCUGCGGUGGACUGAGGACCGCGCAUCUGCAAGGAUGCUGGCGUAAUGGUCACCAGCGACCCGUCUUGAAACACGGACCAAGGAGUCGUCUUCGUAUGCGAGUGUUCGGGUGUCAAACCCCUACGCGUAAUGAAAGUGAACGCAGGUGAGAGCUUCGGCGCAUCAUCGACCGAUCCUGAUGUUCUCGGAUGGAUUUGAGUAAGAGCAUACGGGGCCGGACCCGAAAGAAGGUGAACUAUGCCUGUAUAGGGUGAAGCCAGAGGAAACUCUGGUGGAGGCUCGCAGCGGUUCUGACGUGCAAAUCGAUCGUCAAAUAUGGGCAUGGGGGGCGAAAGACUAAUCGAACCUUCUAGUAGCUGGU
rnacentral:rRNA from 1 species